rnacentral:rRNA from 1 species
GGGGAAUAUUGGACAAUGGGCGCAAGCCUGAUCCAGCAAUGCCGCGUGAGUGAUGAAGGCCUUAGGGUUGUAAAGCUCUUUUACCCGGGAUGAUAAUGACAGUACCGGGAGAAUAAGCCCCGGCUAACUCCGUGCCAGCAGCCGCGGUAAUACGGAGGGGGCUAGCGUUGUUCGGAAUUACUGGGCGUAAAGCGCACGUAGGCGGCUUUGUAAGUUAGAGGUGAAAGCCUGGAGCUCAACUCCAGAACUGCCUUUAAGACUGCAUCGCUUGAAUCCAGGAGAGGUGAGUGGAAUUCCGAGUGUAGAGGUGAAAUUCGUAGAUAUUCGGAAGAACACCAGUGGCGAAGGCGGCUCACUGGACUGGUAUUGACGCUGAGGUGCGAAAGCGUGGGGAGCAAAC